rnacentral:rRNA from 1 species
AGCAGCCGCGGUAAUUCCAGCUCCAAUAGCGUAUAUUAAAGUUGUUGCAGUUAAAAAGCUCGUAGUUGAAUUUCGGGACCAAUUUGUUGGUCGUGCCUCGGUACGUACUGGUAUUAUUGGUUUCUCCCUUCUGAAGAACCUCGAUGCCAUUAAUUUGGUGUCGUGGGGAAUCAGGACUGUUACUUUGAAAAAUUAGAGUGUUUAAAGCAGGCAUACGCUUGAAUACAUUAGCAUGGAAUAAUGAAAUAGGACGUUUGAUUCUAUUUUGUUGGUUUCUAGGAUCGACGUAAUGAUUAAUAGGGAUAGUUGGGGGCAUUAGUAUU